UUUACAUUUAUUAAUAUUUUUACAUCUACCUGCACUGAUACCAAAAAUAAACGCAGUUAAACAUGAAACGGCUUGAAUACGAUGCACAUAAUUCACGUAACCCAAAUUCUAAAUAUCGCGCGUGAACAUGCUUGCAAUUUAUGUCUAUUCUUAAAUUCAACAUUGAAUUUUUAUCCGUAUCGAACUUCCGUAAGCUAAAAAGAAGAUACCAAAGUGCACAAAUUCUUCUCCUAUUUUUUCUCCUAUUUUACCAUAUUUUAAACGAUAUAAUAUAUGAAAUUCAUCGUCAGUGAAUAAUUAUCAAAUCAAUUAAUGAAGCUUUUUACGCAAUUUUGCUUCACCUUGAAAUACAUCAACCUAAGGCCAAAAUGUGAGAUAAAAUAUUGAGAUUGAGGAAUCCAAUUGGCAAGUUUUACUUAUGAUACACGUGACGAUCGCACAAUAAAAUUAUCAUAAAAAAUAUUGACGAGAAUUGAUGUAAUUUAUUGCUGACAUAUCGUAAAUUAUCGCGCCACUCUAUCGAUAUAUAUCAAUCUUGAUGUAUGUAGAAACGAGUUUUGGAAAACAGAUCAACAGGUAGCCUAUGUAGUCGGUUGUAAAUAGUAACGAUUGUAUGUAUAUACAACAAAGUUGAAUGCUUUUGACGAAAGAGAUCUUCGAUAGAAAACGAUCGUUCUGCUUGUCUUCUGUGGAAUCUAUCGUUCGAUAGCUCGAUGUCGCGAGCUAAUCGACCGCGGGAACUUUCGCGAUUGUACGUGACGUGAGCAGUUCAGGUAAAAGAAUCCCAAGGAAAAAGAUAUUACGGUACGAUCAUUUUCAUUUUCUGAGCGCGCAGUGUCGAAAAUAAGUCUGGAGUAUCAUACGUAACGAAAAACAUCAUGGUCGACGUUCUAUUUACGGACAGUAUCAAGGGAGCGGACGGAAAUACUGAAAAUUCAUUCAAAGAAACUAUUCCAACCGGUUUAACAUUAAGCGUAGAUUAUUAUCGCGUAAUUAUCGUUCGACCUUUGCGAACGACGAAAUAGUCGACUGAAAAUAGCGAAUCGUGGGUGUCGAAUUGCAUUUUAACGAAGUAUAAUCAUCGAAUCGGUAAUAAACAGAGGAUAGAAAAGUGUUUCGCGCGUGCGGAACUUAUCAUCGCAUAACAAUCGGCUUACUGGUGCAUAGUAUAGUAUGGGUCACCCGAUUCCAAUCUAAGAUUUGGCGCACAGCCGAAACUUCUCAAAGGUUAACGAUCUUCUCAUUCGCAUCAAGGAAGAAAUCGAUCGAUCGCCCCGUGUCACUCGCAACUUUUUCGAUUUUCUUUUAAUAAUAUUUCUCUUCUCCUCUAACCGUAUGAAAUAAUUAUAUGAAACUCUUCUUGGAACUAUAUUACUAAUAAAUAAAAAGAAAUAGAUCUAGAUAUUUGUAUUUAUAACCGAAAUAGAUGAGGAAACUUGAAAAGUUUAAUACAAUAGUUUAAUAAAUAUAUAUAACAAUGUAUUGGGAAAGGUUAAACACCGGUUAAGUUUGAAAAUGGCAAUUAAUCAAAGAGGAUAUGGACCUCGGCUAUGAUAGAUGUCUUCGGCUGGUUGCAAUAUCUAUAUAUAUCGUCUAUUUAUACGAUAAAGUCAGACGCUGUGCGAACGGAAACAACGAUGAAAGUAUUGCAUACAUCGAUGCCGCAUAUCCCUGACAAACCAUAGCGGAGUCCCACCGUAUCGCAUUGCGAUACUAGUGACCAGUUGACAGUAAUAAGUAACCAGUUAGAUAAGCGAUUCCAUAACCUUCGACGAUUCCACGCAACACAUUUCUACGUAGAUGCGUUUCGCUAUAACGAUCGUUAAUUUCUUCAAUCGUAUAGGAUACAAUUUAUGAUGAAAUCCUGAAUAUUGAUCAAAGCCUGCGAUAUUAAAAUCAAAUUGUUUUUAAAUUAUCCAGCGAUGAAAAAUUUUCAGUAACGAAAAACGAUAAUUGAUAUACGAGAGAAUAACUAAAGUUAAUUCCUUUAAGCUAAGAAUAGAGGAUAAAAUCAAAUAGAAAUUACGAAAUAAGGGGAAGUAUUCGAAUAUAUAAUAUAUUCGAAAUUUUAUAAAAAAUUAUACAUUUAACAAUUAAUCAAUAAUCAAUAAUCCAUAUAUAUUCAUUUAUCUAUUCGUUAUAUGAAAGAUACAUGGAAUAUUCUAAGAAUUAUAUCUACUAUUUAUAAAUGAAAAUAUUGAUAAAACUCUUAUUGAAUAUACAAACCACGACAUAAAUUUAUAUAAAGAAAAUAAAAAUAUUCAGAUUGAAAAUUUCUAUUUUUACAAUAUUAAAUAAUCAGUAGAUAUGUAAAAAUUUUAAAUUCGAAUAGCAUUAUUAAUAACAUUAAAAUAUUAUUAUUUAUUCCGGAUUCAUGAUAAAUCAUCAAUAGAAAUACUUAUUAUCGAUGUACUGACAUAAACACGUGAAAUACAAGAUAAGAUUGAUAUUCAGUUUAAUUUGCAGAACCAAUUGUCAAAUAUCCUUCUGUAAUAAUUGUAUACAAUCAGUAUUUUAAACAAUGAUAUCGGAUGAAAUUCUUUAAAACUCAAGAAAUAUCAACGAAAUUACCAUGCCUCCAAGUGAUUCAGUGCUCGAUUAUUUUUAUCAUAAAGUCUGAAAAUACAAUCCAAAGGGCUGCGGUUUAGCAUCAUAUGUAAUCGAGUCAGACCUGAGAGCCUUGAGCCUCUGCCAAAAAUGAAGAAAACAUUUUCAACGCGUACUUGAAGCUGUUCCAUUUUAUCAAUUCACACCGUAUUAAUCUAUCUUCCUUCUACCUUGUUCGAAUAAUUCUUAUAGCGUGAUUAUCUCUUCAUAUAUCGUAAAUCGAAAUUUUCAUUUGUGAAUUGUGUAAAGAAAUCCAUUGUCAAUCAAAAAUAUUUUGCAUUCCAAUAUUUUUACGAGACAUUUCAAAAUAUUAUAUAUAAAUGUAAAUAAUAAAAUUAACAAAGAAGCAAAAAAUAUAUAAUUUCAGAUAUAUAAUUAGAAUGUAAUUUCUAAAUGCUGAAAAAAAUCAUAAAGCAAUUACAUUUUUCUAUGAAUUUUCUAUCAAUUCUAUAAAUGAAACUAAAACUCAAAACUGAUUAAAUUUUUAUCAAAAGAUGCAAUUGAUUUAACUGUUAGAUAAUAUUAAGAAACUUUGAAAAAAACACAUAUUAUUAAUAACUCAUAUAAAAUAAAAAUGAUUACAAUACAAAAUAUACUUUUUUCACUUUUUUCAAACAUACUUUUUCAUUUUUUAAGAAAAGAUUGUAGACAAUGGAUCAACUUUUUAUAUAUUCACACUGUUGUAUUUGAAAAAUUGUAUUGUGUUCCGUGAGGUUAUGUACAGUAGUUCAAAAAUUUAACAGUCAAAUGUUCCAUAAAUGAUGAAUGUUCAAAAUAUAAAAAUUACACCUUUUUAAUUAUGUUUAUCAAAAGUUCUUGUCAUACACAAUACCUAAAAGUAUAAUAAUAAUAAAAUACAUCCGAUUUAUUUAUCCAAUAAAACAUACAUAUUAUUUUUGAACAGUAUAAUAAUAGAAUUAAAAUUUUUUAUCAAGAUAAAAGAAAAUAUGUAAAAUAUUAUUAAAUGGAAAAAGAAUAAACUUAAUUUACCUUU